UUGAUCCGUAGCUGGUCUGAGAGGACGACCAGCCACACUGGGACUGAGACACGGCCCAGACUCCUACGGGAGGCAGCAGUGGGGAAUUUUGGACAAUGGGGGCAACCCUGAUCCAGCCAUUCCGCGUGAGUGAAGAAGGCCUUCGGGUUGUAAAGCUCUUUCGGCAGGAACGAAAAGGUUCUAGCUAAUAUCUAGGAUCGAUGACGGUACCUGAAGAAGAAGCACCGGCUAACUACGUGCCAGCAGCCGCGGUAAUACGUAGGGUGCGAGCGUUAAUCGGAAUUACUGGGCGUAAAGCGCGCGCAGGCGGUUUUGUAAGACAGGUGUGAAAUCCCCGGGCUUAACCUGGGAACUGCGCUUGUGACUGCAAGACUUGAGUACGGCAGAGGGGGGUGGAAUUCCACGUGUAGCAGUGAAAUGCGUAGAGAUGUGGAGGAACACCGAUGGCGAAGGCAGCCCCCUGGGCUAGUACUGACGCUCAUGCACGAAAGCGUGGGUAGCAAACAGGAUUAGAUACCCUGGUAGUCCACGCCCUGAACGAUGCCAACUAGGUGUUGGAGAAGGAGACUUCUUUAGUACCGUAGCUAACGCGUGAAGUUGGCCGCCUGGGGAGUACGGUCGCAAGAUUAAAACUCAAAGGGAUUGACGGGGACCCGCACAAGCGGUGGAUGAUGUGGAUUAAUUCGAUGCAACGCGAAAAACCUUACCUACCCUUGACAUGUCAGGAACCCUGCUGAGAGGUGGGGGUGCUCGAAAGAGAACCUGAACACAGGUGCUGCAUGGCUGUCGUCAGCUCGUGUCGUGAGAUGUUGGGUUAAGUCCCGCAACGAGCGCAACCCUUGUCAUUAGUUGCCAUCAUUAGUUGGGCACUCUAAUGAGACUGCCGGUGACAAACCGGAGGAAGGUGGGGAUGACGUCAAGUCCUCAUGGCCCUUAUGGGUAGGGCUUCACACGUCAUACAAUGGUCGGUACAGAGGGUUGCCAAGCCGCGAGGUGGAGCCAAUCCCAGAAAGCCGAUCGUAGUCCGGAUCGGAGUCUGCAACUCGACUCCGUGAAGUCGGAAUCGCUAGUAAUCGUGGAUCAGCAUGCCACGGUGAAUACGUUCCCGGGUCUUGUACACACCGCCCUUCACACCAUGGGAGUGGGUUUCACCAGAAGUAGGUAGCCUAACCGCGAGGGGGGCGCUUACCACGGUGGGAUUCAUGACUGGGGUGAAGUCGUAACAAGGUA
rnacentral:rRNA from 1 species